rnacentral:rRNA from 1 species
UACGGGGGGAGCAAGCGUUGUUCGGAUUUACUGGGCGUAAAGGGCGCGUAGGCGGCCUUCUAAGUCAGACGUGAAAUCCCCAGGCUUAACUUGGGAACUGCGUCUGAUACUGGGAGGCUUGAGUGCGGGAGAGGGAUGUGGAAUUCCAGGUGUAGCGGUGAAAUGCGUAGAUAUCUGGAGGAACACCGGUGGCGAAGGCGGCAUCCUGGGCCGACACUGACGCUGAGGCGCGAAAGCUAGGGGAGCAAACGGG